rnacentral:lncRNA from 1 species
CGGGCGAGAGCGGAGAGCAGAGGAAACUCGAGCCACGUCCGUGCGCACCGGGACAGCGGCCAGAACUGCUGGGCGGGGGAUCGAGGCAGCUGACACCAAUCUCAGUGAGCAGGAUCUAGGAGUCCAUUUCUCUUUCAAGAUUCCAGGGACUAACAGUAAGCCAUCGGAGAGACCAUCAAAUCCCACCCCCUCAUUUGACAGACAGGAAAAGGAAAGCCUGCAGAAGACAGGUGGCUUGCCAGAGAUCACUCGCAGAACUGGUGUUCAAAGAGACUGUUUCUGUUAAACCCAUUUUGUUGCACAAGAGAAGAGCCCCUUCCUUUCAACUUUCCAGCUGGAACCAAGACCAGACCUUUCAAACAAGCCACUUUCAGUAAACGCAAAACAGGAACUAUGUGUCCCAGGCUGGUCUCAAAAUCUU